rnacentral:lncRNA from 1 species
UAUCCUAUUCCGCGACAUAUGCUAUAAUGUACAAAUACUUUGUUUCUGCUCAAAUAUCUGUAUCGUAGGCGUAUCUGCAUCAUAUACUAUUAAAUUAAACUUCCUAAUUAUGACUAUAAUUAUGAUAAAAUGGCCGUAUUUACAUAUUGCUAUUUGUGCAAAACGGAAGGCCAGACUAGCUAGCAUUAAUUCUCUUACAAAAAACUAGUAUAACUUAGAAAACAACAAUGAUAAAGCCAUGAAGAGAUUCUAUUAGUUCCUACUUAACAAAACAAUUAGAUCAAAACUAAAGGUGAAUUUUCAAUAUUAAGAAAUGAACUGCCUCUCUUAAAUCUCCAAUUCAAUUAUGCCAGUAAUCCAAAGGGUUGACUUACUAUACAAUGAACGAGUGCAGAAAUAGAAGGAAAGAUGAAGAGGUACUAGAGGGCAGAAAAAGAGUUAGUUUUCUUGUUCCUGCGAUUGUGAGCACACGCUGAUGCUGCGGAAAUCCUUUUGUUGGUUCAGAUUGCCAUUUUCCUUCUCAGUUCUGAUAAAGAACAUUGACAAUUGAGAAAGAUGAUCAACACAACGCAAGUGAAGAGUGAACAUUGACAAUUG